AGCAGCCGCGGUAAUUCCAGCUCCAAUAGCGUAUAUUAAAGUUGUUGCAGUUAAAAAGCUCGUAGUUGAAUUUCGGGAUUAAUAUGUUGGUCGUGCCUUGGUACGUACUGGCAUUAUUGAUUCCUACCUUCUGAAGAACCUCGAUGUCAUUAAUUUGGUGUCUUGGGGAAUCAGGACCGUUACUUUGAAAAAUUAGAGUGUUUAAAGCAGGCUCGCGCUUGAAUACAUUAGCAUGGAAUAAUGAAAUAGGACGUUUGAUUCUAUUUUGUUGGUUUCUAGGAUCGACGUAAUGAUUAAUAGGGAUAGUUGGGGGCAUUAGUAUUCAAUUGUCAGAGGUGAAAUUCUUGGAUUUAUUGAAGACUAACUACUGCGAAAGC
rnacentral:rRNA from 1 species